rnacentral:lncRNA from 1 species
UCAUAUUUACCUUAUCUUUUCAUAGUAGCUCUACCUCGUACUCUACUUUCCUUAUAGGUUUUAUCAUUCAAUUUAUGAAAUUCAUGGUUCUCAUUUAUGCUUUCUAGAGUUGGAUCAAUGGAGUUGGACAGAGGAGUGAAUAUUGCAGAGCAUCUAUUGAUUGAUUUGGAAAAUCUGAGAGGAUUAGAGAACAUAUCAGGUUCUGUAUAUGAGAUCUCAGUGUUCACCGGACAAUGUGUAUAUAGAGAACAUAUCAGGUUCCUCCGUGAUAACACAUUAUUUUCCCUGCC